ACCUGAUAUUGCUGGAAAGGUUAGCUUCUAUAGCUAGCUAACUUAGUUUUUCAUGGUAACACUAGAUUAGGUACCUGUUGAUAGUUUUUAAAGGCAUAACAACACAAGAAGAAUUUCUGCAAUUUUUUGGUUGAUGCUAACCCCAUAUGAUUAAUUUGUUUCAUCAUUUGUAUAGUAAAUCCAACAUGCCUUGUUUUCAUCAAUCAAACCCUAGACUCUUGGUUAAGAUGUUUCAUUUAGAUAAGCUGGCAACUCUGCAUGUGUGUGUGUGUGUGUGUG
rnacentral:misc_RNA from 1 species